GUGAACUGGUUUGAAUUGUCUGCAGGUGGUUGGAAGGGGCUGAGCAACACAGUCAGGUACUUUUCCCUUUCUGCUCUGCUAUGAAAUCACAGCACUGCAGCAAGGAAUGCUUCUUAGACCUUCAGGUACCACAGAGUGCUCAUGAAGACAUGCUGUUAUUUCCAGUCACGAGGACUUCCAGGCUUCAGGAAGGAUCCCAGAUCUCCAUCAUAGGCUUCUCUUCUAGCUAAGACCUCAGAAUUCCAUCAGUUCUCCUCUCUCCCACCCCAGAGUUGGAGCGUACACCUUAUCUUUGCACAUUCUAUGUGGGAUUAUCAGAGGAAGGUCCAGCACUGAAUACCUGUACAGCAAGACUGGGCAUUGUGCAGCAGAACAGAAUGGAGAGAAACUUUUUGCCUUCGCAGUGCUUCCUGGAGGAGGAGCCUGCAGCAGGUCCUUAUCAGCUCUGUGAACCCGUGUGACUUUAAGGGGCAGAUAGACACAAUACAAGCAGGUAGAGGCAUUGCCUUUCUCAAACCUCACCUUUAGAACUGCAGAAGGUGUUUUCUGGGCAGUCUGUGCAGUCAUAGCAGCAGAGGUGGAAUCCUUUGAUCUGCCUGAUUUGCCCUGGUUCACACUCUCUGAAGCAUUCUGAUGUGGGCUCCUGAACAAAAGGAGAAAAAAGUGUCGGCUGGGUACCCAACAAAAGACUGGCUGUGCUUUGCUGGCAUCACACCUGUGUCAGUGCUAAUUAUACUUAAUUAAUAUCUAAUUAUACUUAAUUCUAAUUUUGUACAGUGAGGAUGGAUUACUUGUUUGCAGGAGGGCACAAGCUGGGUCUCACACAAAUCCUGUAGGAGCAGCAUGUAGGCUGGCAGCUCUUCAUGGACAGUUCUGAUGAAGUGGCAAAAGAGGUACUUAAAAGCAAUAUGAGAUUGCCCACCCUUUUUACCUUUUGAUCUGUAGUGUGAAAUUGAAUCAGGGACUUAUUGAGGUACAAGGAUUCUUCGUAGUCUCCCACAGGCAGAUGUGUGAGGCUGCCAUUUUCCCAGUGCCAGAAUAUAAGCUUGUAGCCAGCGUUUGUGCCAUGGGAUUCGUCAAACCUGAAACUUUGGCCAUUCACUGUGAAUGAGACGGUAUUCAUGAAGUGCAGCAGCUGAGGAGAGAAUGAGAAUUAACAAUAGGUAUAUCAGUGCAGGCUCAUGUUGUUCCUUGGAGGUUUCUAAUGCAGUAAGCUAAGUUCUGAUUGAU
rnacentral:lncRNA from 1 species